rnacentral:rRNA from 1 species
AUUGAACGCUGGCGGCAGGCCUAACACAUGCAAGUCGAGCGGAUGAGGGGAGCUUGCUCCCUGAUUUAGCGGCGGACGGGUGAGUAAUGCCUAGGAAUCUGCCUGGUAGUGGGGGAUAACGUUCCGAAAGGAACGCUAAUACCGCAUACGUCCUACGGGAGAAAGCAGGGGACCUUCGGGCCUUGCGCUAUCAGAUGAGCCUAGGUCGGAUUAGCUAGUUGGUGAGGUAAUGGCUCACCAAGGCGACGAUCCGUAACUGGUCUGAGAGGAUGAUCAGUCACACUGGAACUGAGACACGGUCCAGACUCCUACGGGAGGCAGCAGUGGGGAAUAUUGGACAAUGGGCGAAAGCCUGAUCCAGCCAUGCCGCGUGUGUGAAGAAGGUCUUCGGAUUGUAAAGCACUUUAAGUUGGGAGGAAGGGCUGCUGGUUAAUACCCUGCAGUUUUGACGUUACCAACAGAAUAAGCACCGGCUAACUUUGUG